AUGAAGUUUCUGGUGAUUUUCCUGUCCCUGUUGGCUGCCCCGGGAUAUGUCCUGUCGCAAGUUCAGCUGGUCCAGUCCGGCCCAGGCGUGGUGAAGCCCGGGGAGACCCUCACACUGACCUGCUCUAUCACUGGGGACUAACAGCUACUGGGAAUGGGUCCGGCAGGCUCCUGGGAAAGGGCUGGAUUGGGUGGGACAGAUCGACUGGGCUGCCUCCAAAUGGCGCAUAUACUAUGGCCCGUCUUUCCAGAGCCGCGCAACCCUCAGUGCAGAUUCCUCCAAGAACCAGUUCUCCCUGCAGCUCCGCUCGCUGACAGCUGCAGACACCGCCACGUGUUACUGCGCUAGAGACACA